AUGAAGAGUCUUCUGAAUGACAUCCUGCACCAGAGAAGGUGUGCAAUUAGCCUCAUCAUUGCUGGAAUUAUCAACCUGGUAGCCACCAUCACCACCAUAGCCACUGCCACUGCUUCACUCACUAAGAGUAUCCAGACUGCUCAGACUAAGAUAAGGCUGCUGGGUCUUGUCCUGUGCCUGGUCACAGCUCCCCAAGGUGUCCUGUGCCAGGUGCAGCUGCAGGAGUCAGGACCUGGCCUGGUGAAGUCCUCACAGACCCUGUCCCUCACCUGUGCUGUCUCUGGUUACUCCAUCACCAGUGGUUACUGCUGGAGCUGGAUCCGUCAGCCCCCAGGGAAGGGGCUGGAGUGGAUAGGGUGCAUAGGUUAUGAUGGUAGCACUUACUACAACCCAUACAUCAAGAGCCGAGUGUCCAUCUCCAGGGACACGUCCAAGAACCAGUUCUCCCUGCAGCUGAGCUCCCUGACCACUGAGGACACGGCCACCUAUUACUGUGUCAGAGACACAGUCCUGCUGCUGCUGGGCUCCACCUCAGGGACCAUGGCAGUGUCUGGUGUCAGUCUGGGUGUCUGCAGGGCAGUGGGCCUCUCCUGA